UCCCUGGUGGCUCAGAGGUUAAAGCAUCUGCCCGCAAUGCAGGAGACCUGGGUUCGAUCCCUGGGUUGGGAA
rnacentral:tRNA from 1 species